GUGAACGCUGGCGGUAGGCCUAACACAUGCAAGUCGAACGGCAGCACAGUAAGAGCUUGCUCUUACGGGUGGCGAGUGGCGGACGGGUGAGGAAUACAUCGGAAUCUACUUUUUCGUGGGGGAUAACGUAGGGAAACUUACGCUAAUACCGCAUACGACCUACGGGUGAAAGCCGGGGAUCUUCGGACCUUGCGCGAUUGAAUUAGCCGAUGUCGGAUUAGCUAGUUGGCGGGGUAAAGGCCCACCAAGGCGACGAUCCGUAGCUGGUCUGAGAGGAUGAUCAGCCACACUGGAACUGAGACACGGUCCAGACUCCUACGGGAGGCAGCAGUGGGGAAUAUUGGACAAUGGGCGCAAGCCUGAUCCAGCCAUACCGCGUGGGUGAAGAAGGCCUUCGGGUUGUAAAGCCCUUUUGUUGGGAAAGAAAAGCAGCAGGUUAAUACCCCGCUGUUCUGACGGUACCCAAAGAAUAAGCACCGGCUAACUUCGUG
rnacentral:rRNA from 1 species